rnacentral:rRNA from 1 species
GUCCGUGUGUUGCCUCCGGCUAAGGACGGUAGUGCAUUUGCAAGUGGAGUGCGCUGAGACUUGUGGCUGCGGCGGUUAGAUCUCGGUGUUGAGGCUAUGCCACUUCGGUGGUGUGGUACCCACACUGGGGGAAGGCUGUCCGUGCUGCAUGUGGAGAGCGCGGUUGAGGCUGGUGGGUGCUGAGUUGGCCAGUGGUGGCGGUCGCAUGCGACACGUGCCAUUGUGUCGAUUCGGUACUUGCUUGUCUUUCGCGUUCGAUCUCGGUGUAAAAGUUGGUCAUCUAUCCGACCCGUCUUGAAACACGGACCAAGGAGUUUAGCGUGUACGCGAGUCAUUGAGUGUCUGAAAACUCAAAGGCGCAAUGAAAGUGAACAGCAAUUGAUAUGCGAUCGAGGACACUUCGGUGUUCACGAGCAGCAUAGCCCCGUCCCGAUCGCUUGCGAUGGGGCGGAGGUAGAGCGUAUUCGCUGAG